rnacentral:sRNA from 1 species
CAGGUUUUCCAGAGGACCAGCUUUCGCUUUCUGACCAGCAGAUUUUAUCUUCCAGGCAAGGAUAUUUGGACCGAUCUUUUACAUGUUCCACAAGAAGUGCAGCUUAUAAUCCAAGCUAUUACUCAGAUAAUCCUUCCUCAGACAGUUUUCUUGGCUCAGGCGAUUUAAGAACCUUUGGCCAGAGUGCAAAUGGCCAAUGGAGAAAUUCUACUCCAUCGUCAAGCUCAUCUUUACAAAAAUCAAGAAACAGCCGAAGUCUUUACCUCGAAACCCGAAAGACCUCAAGUGGAUUAUCAAACAUUUUUGCGGGAAAGUCAAACCAUCACUGCCAUGUAUCUGCAUAUGAAAAAUCUUUUCCUAUUAAACCUGUUCCAAGUCCAUCUUGGAGUGGUUCAUGUCGUCGAAGUCUUUUGAGCCCCAAGAAAACUCAGAGGCGACAUGUUAGUACAGCAGAAGAGGAAUAUGAAGUCUUCUGCAAAAUUAACAAUUAAGAUGAUGUCACCACUGCACUGCUCAGUCUUACAACAGAGGUUUGAAGAGAACACAUGAAGAAGAAUUUAGAAAUAUGCAAGUAGUGGCUGUGCAGAAUGGUUGACUCAAGAGGCAACAUCAAAAAGCUGUGCUAUUCAGUAGGGUAACUGCUAGCCACAAGCUCUGUUUAAAUUAAUUCAAAUUCAAAUUUAAAAUUUAGUUACUCAAUGACACUAGCCACAUUUUAAGUAUUCAUUAGCCACAUGUGGCUAGUGGCUACCAUAUUGGACAGGGCAAAUAUAGAACAUUUCUGUUACUACAGAAAUUUCUGUUAGAUAGUGCUGUUAUAGAGGAUAUAAAGUUCUGUUUGGAAAAGAGAAAAUACUUGUGACA